GUGCCAGCAGCCGCGGUAAUACGUAGGGCGCAAGCGUUGUCCGGAAUUAUUGGGCGUAAAGAGCUCGUAGGCGGUUUGUCGCGUCUGCCGUGAAAACCCGAGGCUUAACCUCGGGCUGGCGGUGGAUACGGGCAGACUAGAGGUAGGUAGGGGAGAAUGGAAUUCCCGGUGUAGCGGUGAAAUGCGCAGAUAUCGGGAGGAACACCGGUGGCGAAGGCGGUUCUCUGGGCCUUACCUGACGCUGAGGAGCGAAAGCGUGGGGAGCGAACAGGAUUAGAUACCCGAGUAGUCC
rnacentral:rRNA from 1 species